rnacentral:rRNA from 1 species
AGAGUUUGAUCCUGGCUCAGGACGAACGCUGGCGGCGUGCCUUAAACAUGCAAGUCGUGCGGUCCCGCAAGGGACAGCGGCAGACGGCUGAGUAACACGUGAGUGACCUGCCCAGAGGUGGGGGAUAGCCCCUCGAAAGAGGGGGUAAUACCGCGUAAGCUGGCUGGAGUAGAUGCCAGUCAGGAAAGCAGCAAUGCGCCUUUGGAGGGGCUCGCGGCCCAUCACGUAGUUGGUGAGGUAACGGCUCACCAAGCCGAUGACGGGUAGCUGGUCUGAGAGGAUGAUCAGCCAGACUGGGACUGAGAGACGGCCCAGACUCCUACGGGGGGCAGCAGUUGGGAAUCUUGCACAAUGGGCGAAAGCCUGAUGCAGCGACGCCGCGUGGGGGACGAAGGUCUUCGGAUCGUAAACCCCUUUUGUCGGGGAAGAUAAUGACGGUACCCGGCGAAUAAGCCCCGGCUAACUACGUGCCAGCAGCCGCGGUAAUACGUAGGGGGCGAGCGUUGUCCGGAUUUACUGGGCGUAAAGAGCGCGUAGGCGGUCCGUUAAGUUGGCUGUGAAAUCUCCCGGCCUAACUGGGAGGAGUCAGCCGAGACUGGCGGACUUGAGGGCGGUAGAGGAAGGUGGAACUCCGGGUGUAGUGGUGAAAUGCGUAGAUAUCCGGAAGAACACCGGUGGCGAAGGCGGCCUUCUGGGCCGUACCUGACGCUGAGGCGCGAAAGCGUGGGGAGCGAACUGAAUUAGAUACUCAGGUAGUCCACGCCCUAAACGAUGGACGCUAGGUGUCGGGGGUAUCGACCCCUCCGGUGCCGAAGCUAACGCAUUAAGCGUCCCGCCUGGGGAGUACGGCCGCAAGGCUAAAACUCAAAGGAAUUGACGGGGGCCCGCACAAGCAGCGGAGCGUGUGGUUUAAUUCGACAACGCGUAGAACCUUACCAGGGCUUGACAUGCACCUGCAAGGCCUAGAGAUAGGUCCCUCCGCAAGGACGGGUGCACAGAUGCUGCAUGGCUGUCGUCAGCUCGUGCCGUGAGGUGUUGGGUUAAGUCCCGCAACGAGCGCAACCCUCGUCGCUAGUUAAAUCUCUAGCGAGACUGCCGAGACAAACUCGGAGGAAGGUGGGGAUGACGUCAAGUCAGCACGGCUCUUACGUCCUGGGCUACACACACGCUACAAUGGUCGGUACAAUGGGCAGCGACAGGGCGACCUCGAGCGAAUCCCACCAAAGCCGACCUCAGUUCAGAUCGGAGUCUGAAACCCGACUCCGUGAAGGCGGAGUUGCUAGUAACCGCAGGUCAGCACACUGCGGUGAAUACGUUCCCGGGCCUUGUACACACCGCCCGUCACGUCAUGAAAGCCGGCAAGACCUGAAGCCGCUAAGCUAACCCGCAAGGGGGGCAGGCGUCGAGGGUCGGGCUGGUGAUUGGGACGAAGUCGGAACAAGGUA